rnacentral:rRNA from 1 species
CUGGUUGAUCCUGCCAGAGACUAUUGCUAUCUGGAUUCGACUAAGCCAUGCGAGUCGUGAGGUGAAAGACCUCGGCGAACUGCUCCGUAAUAUGCAGUCAACUUGCCGUUAGGAGAGGGAUAAUCACGGGAAACUGUGGCUAAUACCUCAUAGGUAUUGAUUUCUGGAAUGAGUUAAUACCAAAAGACGCAAGUUGCCUAACGAUAGGACUGCADGGUAUCAGGCUGUUGUUGGUGUAACGAACCAACAAACCGAUAACGCCUACGGGCUAUGGAAGUAGGAGCCCGGAGAUGGACUCUGAGACAUGAGUCCAGGUUCUACGGAACGCAGCAGGCGCGAAAACUUUACAAUUCGCUAUCGCGAGAUAAGGGAAUCCGGAGUGUUCUUGCUUUGCAAGAACUUUUGCCUUCUGAAAACGGGAAGGUGAAUAAGGGCUGGGUAAGACGGGUGCCAGCCACCGCGGUAAUACCCGCAGCCCUAGUGAUGGUCACGAUUAUUGAGUCUAAAGCGUCCGUAGCCGGUUUAACAAGUCCUUGGUGAAAUCCUCUAGCAAACUAGAGGGCGUGCUGGGGAUACUGUUAGACUCGAGACCGGGAGAGGGUAGGGGUACUCUUAGGGUAGGGGUGAAAUCCUAUAAUCCUGAGAGGACCACCUGUGGCGAAGGCGCCUACCUGGAACGGGUCUGACGGUGAGGGACGAAAGCUAAGGGAGCGAUCGGGAUUAGAUACCCCGGUAGUCUUAGCUGUAAACGAUGCCCAUUUGGUGUUGCAAACUUCUCGGGAGUUUGCAGUGCCGGAGCGUAGGUGUUAAGUGGGCCACUUGGGAAGUACGGUCGCAAGGCUGAAACUUAAGGGAAUUGGCGGGGGAGCACACAAGGGGUGGGCGUUGCGGUUCAAUUGGAUUCAACGCCGGG